AGCUUGCUCCCGGAUUCAGCGGCGGACGGGUGAGUAAUGCCUAGGAAUCUGCCUGGUAGUGGGGGACAACGUUUCGAAAGGAACGCUAAUACCGCAUACGUCCUACGGGAGAAAGCAGGGGACCUUCGGGCCUUGCGCUAUCAGAUGAGCCUAGGUCGGAUUAGCUAGUUGGUGAGGUAAUGGCUCACCAAGGCGACGAUCCGUAACUGGUCUGAGAGGAUGAUCAGUCACACUGGAACUGAGACACGGUCCAGACUCCUACGGGAGGCAGCAGUGGGGAAUAUUGGACAAUGGGCGAAAGCCUGAUCCAGCCAUGCCGCGUGUGUGAAGAAGGUCUUCGGAUUGUAAAGCACUUUAAGUUGGGAGGAAGGGUUGUAGAUUAAUACUCUGCAAUUUUGACGUUACCGACAGAAUAAGCACCGGCUAACUCUGUGCCAGCAGCCGCGGUAAUACAGAGGGUGCAAGCGUUAAUCGGAAUUACUGGGCGUAAAGCGCGCGUAGGUGGUUCGUUAAGUUGGAUGUGAAAUCCCCGGGCUCAACCUGGGAACUGCAUCCAAAACUGGCGAGCUANAGUAUGGUAGAGGGUGGUGGAAUUUCCUGUGUAGCGGUGAAAUGCGUAGAUAUAGGAAGGAACACCAGUGGCGAAGGCGACCACCUGGACUGAUACUGACACUG
rnacentral:rRNA from 1 species